rnacentral:rRNA from 1 species
AACAGGAUUAGAUACCCUGGUAGUCCACGCCGUAAACGAUGUCGACUUGGAGGUUGUGCCCUUGGGGCGUGGCUUCCGGAGCUAACGCGUUAAGUCGACCGCCUGGGGAGUACGGCCGCAAGGUUAAAACUCAAAUGAAUUGACGGGGGCCCGCACAAGCGGUGGAGCAUGUGGUUUAAUUCGAUGCAACGCGAAGAACCUUACCUGGUCUUGACAUCCACAGAACUUUCCAGGGAUGGAUUGGUGCCUUCGGGAACUGUGAGACAGGUGCUGCAUGGCUGUCGUCAGCUCGUGUUGUGAAAUGUUGGGUUAAGUCCCGCAACGAGCGCAACCCUUAUCCUUUGUUGCCAGCGGUCCGGCCGGGAACUCAAAGGAGACUGCCAGUGAUAAGCUGGAGGAAGGUGGGGAUGACGUCAAGUCAUCAUGGCCCUUACGACCAGGGCUACACACGUGCUACAAUGGCGCAUACAAAGAGAAGCGACCUCGCGAGAGCAAGCGGACCUCAUAAAGUGCGUCGUAGUCCGGAUUGGAGUCUGCAACUCGACUCCAUGAAGUCGGAAUCGCUAGUAAUCGUGGAUCAGAAUGCCACGGUGAAUACGUUCCCGGGCCUUGUGCACACCGCCCGUCACACCAUGGGAGUGGGUUGCAAAAGAAGUAGGUAGCUUAACCUUCGGGAGGGCGCUUACCACUUUGUGAUUCAUGACUGGGGUGAAGUCGUAACAAGGUAACC